ACUUAAUUCUAGCAAUCGGGGAUUAUUUUCGUUCUUGUCAGGCCCGUUCACAGUUCCCCGUUCGUUUCCCCGUUAAGAACCGUUCGUUACCCCGAUAGCUUCAUCGGGGUAUAAAAAGGUUACACCUGUUUGUCAGGGGCUCUUCCUCCUUAGUCAGACCUACAGAUAUGUUGCCAGAUUUUCGGUCAGUUGAUACUGUCGAUUAUUCAAUAUUCGCUGAAGUUUAGCAUAUUUUUAUCAUGUAUUUCAUGAGAUUCUAAGCAGUUUUACUGUAGUUUAGAACUUUUUGGACGUUUUCUGUUCACUAUAAGUCUAGUAUUCUAGUACUUAGAUCAGAAUCAAAAAUGGAUUUAAUAUAAUUGUACAUGUACAUAUAAAUAGCUGGUCUAUUUAUUCAGGCUAGCUUUCAUUUGCUAACCUGUUUCUUUGAGGUAAACGGAUUAAAGUUACAUGCCUUCCCCAUUCCCCUUUUCCCCUCCCAUUUUGUUAAG
rnacentral:lncRNA from 1 species